CCCUUCAUGGCUACACUGGUCAAGCUGGUCUACUUGCAAUAAUAACCAGCUAAACCAAUGUGUGCCAGAAGCAGACCAGCAUUGCCCAUUUAAAACUAGUUUAGCCAUGAUAACUCUCUAAAAGAUUUGGCAUGUUAAUGUGGGUAUGACAUAUUGAUAGGAUAUUGGUCUUGGCGGACUAGAUAUGCUACGCUACUGCUGAUGCAAAGCAAGUACUGAGACUUGCUACUGCUAGAAAAUACACAGACAUACUGAGGCCCAUACUAGGGGCGCACUUACAUCUGACGCAGCGCCGGAAACUCUUUCUUCCUACACUGUCAAGACGACAAAAAAAAAAGUACUUUUCUCACGCAUUAUUUACAGGAGUUUCUGCAGAGGGCAUUGGACAAUAUCCAUCGCACAUUGAGACACAGAGCUGUUGCUCCAUCCAGUAAAAAGAAGAAGGGGUUUAACAAUGUGUAUUCCAAGUUUUAUCGACCACAAUGAGGGUGAAUAUUCACAAGCCAAAGACCAGCACUGGAUUAGCAAGGGCUUUGCCGAACUGAAGAUAGCACUGAUGAUGGACGAAUGCUAAUGAGAAGCUAAAUUUUUACUCUCUCUCUCUCUCUCUCUCUCUCUCUCUCUCUCUCUCUCUCUCUCUCUCUCUCUCUCUCUUUUAGAACUCUUCUUAAAAAAAUAAAAAAAAUAAAAAAAACAAAAAACAGAAAGGGACAGUUAACAAUGACACAAUAAUAUAUUGACAGUAAUUUGACACAAUAAAUAUAGAUUACAUUUUGUGGUAACACUUUACUAUAAGGUUCCAUUCGUUAACAUUAGUAAAUGCAUUAGGUAUCAUGAUCAAACAAUUAACAAUAUAUAUUUUUUCUGCAUUUAUUAAUCUUUGUGAAUGUUAGUUAAUAAAAUACAAUUGUUUAUAGUUAGUUCAUGUUAGUUCAUAGUGCAUAACUAUUAGACAACUUAUAACUAUAUAACUACUAGUAUAUCAACAUAUACUAAUAUAUAAUCUAUUAGUAUAUGAUGAAAUUAACAUUAACUAGAUAGUUAGAACAUAAAAUAGACUAUUGUAAAAGUAUUGUUCAUUGUUAAUGCAUGUUAACUAAUGUUGUUAAAAUUUUUUAACAAAUGGAACCUUGUUGUAAAGUGUUACCAAUUGUGUUAUUGUAUCAUUCAUUACUCUUAUUAAUAAAUAUUGUGGUGUUAUAUUACAGAUUAAAUGAAUAAAAACGUAUUAAUCAAUCAACUGUAAUUUCUUUUUUCUCUCUCUGAAGAAUAUGUGUUUUGUUUAUGUGCAAUCCCAUGGUUUGACUAGGGGGAGAUUAUAAUAAUUUACAAAAAAACAUUACUGUUUUUAGUGUUCUCAGUGAUGUUUCGUCGCCCUGCGGAUGGCGCAAAAACCUCAGAUGAGCAACGGACCGUCCCUAACUUCAUCUUCUGUGAAGAGACAAUCCUGAAGAUGGAGAUAAAGAGAAAGACCUGUUUAUGAAAAAGAGAGGAUGUGAUAAAAUUACACACUCCAUUUGAUAUACUGUAAUAUCUUACCAUUCAAUCCUGCACAAUGGCAAAAUAAUUUAACUAGACAAUGUGAAACGAGUGUAUAGAUAUAUACUACUAUAUAUACUUUUUUAUACAUUUUUUAUUUUUAUCGAAUAAUGUGUAUCUAUAUUGUGCGUAUUGUAUACUGUACAGUGUAUGUUAUUAUUUGUAUAUUGUUGUGUGUAAUUAUGUGUAUAUCAGAUGUUUAAAUUGUGCUGUGCUAAUUUGAUGUUAUUGUAAAUUGGUAUAUGUCUCACCUAUGUCUCAUCACUGUCACAACGGCUAUGUUGAUCGGAACUGCACCCAAGAA